UACAGAGGGUGCGAGCGUUAAUCGGAAUACUGGGCGUAAAGCGUGCGUAGACGGUUAUUUAAGUCGGAUGUGAAAGCCCCGGGCUCAACCUGGGAAUUGCAUUCGAGACUGAAUAGCUAGGGUGCGGUAGAGGGAAGCGGAAUUUCCGGUGUAGCGGUGAAAUGCGUAGAUAUCGGAAGAACAUCAGUGGCGAAAGCGGCUUCCUGGACCAGCACCGACGUCAGGCACGAAAGCGUGGGGAGCAAACAGG
rnacentral:rRNA from 1 species